UACGUAGGGGGCAAGCGUUGUCCGGAUUUAUUGGGCGUAAAGAGCGUGUAGGCGGCUAGGUAGGUCCGUUGUGAAAACUCGAGGCUCAACCUCGAGACGUCGGCGGAAACCAUCUGGCUAGAGUCCGGAAGAGGAGAGUGGAAUUCCUGGUGUAGCGGUGAAAUGCGCAGAUAUCAGGAGGAACACCGGUGGCGAAGGCGGGUCUCUGGGCCGAAAUUGACGCUGAGGAGCGAAAGGCGUGGGGGAGCAAA
rnacentral:rRNA from 1 species